GAAGCUGCAGACGAAGGCCACCAGGAAGAACUGGCUGCGCGUGAAGCCGCCUUUGCUCCGCACUUCCUUCUCGUGGAGCGCCCUGGUUGGAAUUUCCAGGAGUGGUUUCAGAGAAUGGUUCGAAUCCGAAUCCGCAGCUCGCCGCCUUUCCCUGAGAGAGACAAAUGGAAUGGAAUUUCUCUCCGUUUUGUA